AAUAUCCUGGUUCUUAUAAAAAUUUCUCCCAGUAUUUUUGGCAACAUAGAUGAUUCUUGCUUGUAUCAAUUAUGAUGAUAUUUACCAAAUGGUGAGUUUUUAAUUCCUUCUACAUAGAUUACCUGGCUUUCUACCAAAACAAAAGAUUUGUCUUCUCUCCAUUUACUUAGUCAUUUAUCUGUAUAAUUUAUAUAUUUAUUUUGACGCUUAAAUCAUCCCUAAUUUCAACAUCCCUAAUAUCCCUCUUCAAGCUCAGUUCUGUGUUCUUGUCAUUUCCCAGCAUUCUUUGAGGACUUUCUUCAUAAGAUGUUCCAGGCCCAUAUUAUACAUUCACUUCCCCAUUCCUGGAAUCAGCCACUUCUUCAAGAAGCUAUGGUUCCUCUCAAUGACAGUGGUAUUUAGAAGCCAAGACCUAUGCAUCAAAUGAGCUCAUUGCUAUUGGUAUGUCACUGGUCCCUGGCUCUUCCAGCUCUUUCAGUGGACAGACUGGAUACACACACACAAACACACACACACACGUGUGCAAAUAUGAUUUCACAUUCAUAAUCCACUUCCAAUCCAACGUCAUCACAGGGUUUAUUGUAGAUUUCUUUCUAUAUUUAUACCUCGAUUUUCUGACAGUUAGAAAUCUCCCUCAUCAAUAUAUACACCAGGGUAAACAGGUUCAGUUCUUACGUAUGUAACAAAUCCAUUCUGACACAAUCCCAGUGCAGAUCCCCUCCUCACCUUUCUCAGACUCUCACACUCCAUGCCUGGCCACCACCAUCACCCCCUGUUCAGACACCCUCUUCCUCUGCUCAGGGUAACAACCCUUCCCACCAGUGCAGCACUAAAUUGCUCUCACCCCCGGCUGCAUUUUCCAGGAAGGAAGCAAGCAAGCAAACCACAUUUUUUAAGUUAAACAUUUUAUCUAACUAAAAAAUUAAAACCUAGAUAUGCCAGACCUCACCAAAAUGUGAGUAAAAAUGAUUCCCAAGUUACAACAGCCCCUUUUCCUGCAGGUGUUCAAUUAGACGAUCUUACUCAUUUAUUUCAGGGUCUUCCAAUGAGAUUACAAACAGAUGUGCUGUUGGAAAGCUCUUUAGUUCUUUCCUUCUGUUUCAUGAGGAUUAAAAGCAGUUGUGUCCACCUAAGUGAAAAAAGAAUCACCUGGGAGCAUUUAAAAACCGAUGCACUAGGCCCACUCCAAAGUUUCCACCUUCAGUUAACCGCUGAUUUAAAGUGCUUUUUCUCUGUCAUUAAAAUAACGUGACCUAAACUUACUGUGAGAGGCAAAUACUAAGAUGGAAUCUAUGAUCUCUAUCUCUGAUGUCCUCCACCCCUAUACUCAUCUCCUUUCAAGUGUGGCUGGGACAAACUUCUAGCCAAUAGAACAUAGCAGAGGUGAAAGAAUUUUGCAGAUGCAGUGUAGGUUCCGAGUCAGUUGAUUUUGAACUAAUCAAAAAGGAGGUCAUUUUGGUUGGGCCUGACUUAAUUAGUUGAAAACCCUUAAAAGACUAACCUAGCCGUCCCCAAUGAGAAGGACUCUCUCUCCUUCCAACCAGAGGGAUCUUGGAAGACGAUCUUUCCCUCGCUGAUCCUCUGAAUGAGAAUGCAAUCUAACAAGUAGAUUUCAGCUUCAUGAGAUCCUGAACAGAGGACCCAGGAAAACUUGAACCAGGGGGUAAACUGAGAUAGAGUUGGCCAGAGCCGGAAAUUAUAACAAGCUGUGAACAAUCAUUGAAGCUUCCUGAAGGUACUAGAGUGGUCUUUGCCCCCUAACACCUGAUGCUGCCGUCCGCACCUGACUCAGUCAAACCAUUAUGGUCUACCUUCAAGAUGGGGCAAUCAGAUUCACAUGCUGCCUGGGAAUUUUGAUCAUAAACUGAGAGCUACCCACUGCAAUCUCGGGAGAGAUGAGGCAACUUGAUGACAAUACCUCGUUAUAACAUCGAGGAAUUCCUUGUCCCUGGAGCUGUUCUGGCAUUGCCCUUGCAGAAGCUUUGCCACCCUGCUCUUUCAUUGCCUUUGAGUACCAUGCUACCUUCUCAUAAAUCUCCUUUGUACUUAAGUAGGCCAAGGUCCAUUGCUUUCUAUUGCAUGUACCCAAAAUAACAUUAACAGAUACAAUAAGCUUGUUAGUGCUACACAGAGAGCUGUUCUUUGCCCAAGGACAGCACAUUUCAAUUUAGCCAGGUAUUUUUUAAAAAUCUGUGCCAGGAAGCAAAGUUGAAUCUGGACCAAAAAAAUAUACAUGAAUCAGUGAAAGUCCAUUAUCUGUUAUGGAAAAGCAAAAGAACACAUACAAAUGACUCUAACAGUGGAUUAUAACAUAAAAGCAUCCUUUUGUAUGUUAUGUAUAUGAGUUUUGAUUAUAAAGAGUUAUGCCUCAAUUCUUAAAUGUGUCGCAGAAGUGAUUUCAUUGCUAGUUAUAUCAUAUGUUUACCAUUUAUGAACAAAAUCUUUAUACGCUGCACAUCUGUGAGAAUUCCUUUUUUGUACGAUUUACCAAGAAAAAAAUGAAGGGAGAUAAAAUUAAUCCAUCUCUUACAUGUACUCCAGUUCACUCUAUAAAAUAAAAUGAAGGUGGUUGAAGAAGGCAAUUAUAAGAUUUCGUUUUCUCGCUAAGAAGCUCAAAGUACUUAUCUGUCGUUAUUCAAUUGAUUUUGUAGGAUCCCCUUGAGAGUUGUGGAAUACAGUUAUUUUAUAACCAGAGAAAUUAAUGCAGAAACACCACAUGCUGUGUUAACUGUAAGAGCAGGAUUAGGAAUCAUAUCCUCUGAGUUUAUAAAUUAUCAUUAGCCCAUUAAAUUAUGUGGAGUUCGUCCCAGUGCUGUACACUUUCUUCUUCCUAACUGUGCUUCCAAUGUAGCAAUGAACUAAAUGGCCAACCAUUUUAUGAACCUUCUGGUUUAAGGUAAAAGAAAUCAUUUAGUGUCAAUUAACUUCGUUCAUGGAUCGACCCCUGUCUUUACAAUUCCCUAUGAGAGCGGGUGGGUCACUGUUAAAAUGUCACAUGCAUAAUGACAGGCAAACCAUUUUAGAAGUUAGUCACUUUUUUUGGUCUUCUAUUAAACGUCUUGGCCUGGUAGUCUGUGUAUAUCUAUCAUAUCUUUCAAUGGCAUCUGCCUUUAAUUUUCCACAUUUACCAUCCACUCAGCCACACUGUUUUAUUUCCCAUGAGGUGAACAUUAUUAUCUUUUCCCACUUCCUUUCUUUACAUUUCUUAUUUUUUUCUGACUCAUGCUGUUUCUCCUGACAUAAUGACAUCUCCUUCUGCUGACUUGACCUAAAUCCUGUGUAUCCGACCUUCUCCAUAGGGUCUUCCCUGGAACUUCAAACUAAGCCAUUCCUCUCACUUGUAAAUUCAGGUCAGACUUGUCUCUCUGCUGUUAAGGGUGUUAGUACUGUUUACUUAACUUCUUCCUCAUCCCUUGAACAUGUAUUUAACCCUCAUUUUGUUACUUCCUGUACUGACAUCUCUUCUUCCCAAGGAGAUUAAAAUCUUCCCAGGACAGGAACAGUGACUUACCUGAUUCUAGCUCAGAUAACAUCCAGUGCAGUAUUUUGCAUUUACCAGGUAUUUAAAAAUGCACAGUGUGGAGUCUUGAUUAAUUUACUUAGCAUGCUUCAGCAAAUCUGAUGCUUUGGAAAGCAGAGGAAAUUUUAAAAUGCUUAAUUUGUACCUAUUAAUAAUAUAAAGGGGGACAAUUAAAUACUUCUAUAUUUAUAAAAUGAAGAAUGGUUCAUAAAAAUAUGAUUUUAGUUUGUAACGUCCUUACACUGAAUACUAUUCCAUUAGACAGCAAUUUAGUUUUCAUAUAGUGAGUUAAAUAGCACAAUCACUAGAAACUCCUUCAGAUUAAUAUUAAUCUUGAUUGUCUCGUAGUCUAAAGGAAGAUACCAUUUUUGUUUAUUGGGCAUUUUAUUCUGUUGUCUAUGCGGGCAGUCAUUGGCCUCUGUGUAAACAGCCAAGGGUUCUCCCCAAGCCUACUUUAAACCAUUAUUCUCUACCUGCUGUUUUGACCCACCCAUCCACAAUUGUUAUAACCUAUGCCUCGCCUAUUGUGUGGUAGAGAGCUGGUCAAGUUCAUGGUUUUUAGCCUUUGUAUACAAUGCUUAUUCCAGAGCACCCUAGACCACCUCGUUUCUCUGAGCUCCUUCUGCAUCUCACUCUAUUUCUUUACUCAAAAACAUAAACAUUCAGUUAAAUAAAUCUCUCUUGAGUUCUUAUUAGCAGCAGGGUACUGGACUAGCUGUUGCUAAUGAAUCUACUGCUGUGUCAAAAUAUUUAAAGAUUACAUUUUGAAAUGUAAUCUUUGAUCAAGCUACUCCACCCUAAGAUUUUAUCCUGAGGAAAUAAUCAGAAUUAGGCAAUAACAUUCAUGUACAGAGAUGUUCAUAAUAGCAUUAUUUGAAAUGUCAAAAUAUUUAAAACCAAAGCAAGAAAAUACUGCAUUUUCAUAAGCAGGAAACAACUUAUAAACAUCAAAGAACAUCGGAAAAGGAUAUUUUAUGACAAGAUAAAUGGGUACCACAUAUUGUGAUAUAGCAUGAUUUAUUAAAUCAUUUACUAUCACAUGCAAUAUGUCACACAUAAGUCAAGGCACUAGUUACAUGGCCAUAAAAAAGUAAAGAAGCACCUGCCCAGGUGAAGCUUACAUUCUCAUGAUGAAACAGAGACUAAAAGAUAAGAAAAUAACUACAUCGUAAAUAUCAGGCAGUGACAAAUAGAAUAAGGGGGAGCCUGACUCAGGAACUAUUUUUCAUGAUAGUCAAGUAAGAUAAAAUCAGUCAAGUGAAUACCUGAAAAAGAGUAUUUCACACAAAGCAAAUCUUAAAGAUUUGAUAUUAGAAUGUACUUGGCCUUGAAUGUAGUUGGUGUUCAAAAUAAACGAAUGAAAACUUUAUUUUUUCAAUUCUUUCAGCUGUGAUCUUCAGAAUUGCAUACGUUUUAUUAGUCAGCUGUAUAGAAGCGGGUACUAUGCCUUCUACCUAUCCCUGGGCCUCUAUGAUGGAGUGCCUACCAUUUUUCAGGUACUUUUUUGCAACUUAUUUGAAAUGUUUAUAAAAUAAGAAUUUCAAAUCUAUCAAAUCUAAAAUUUUGAUAUUACACCUCCUCCUUUUUCUGAGAGACAAGGGGCUAAUAUUUUUGACUACAGCUGCAUGAGUCCAGGAUUCAAACAUAGCCAUAUGUUGAUGUAUAUCCAAAACUCUUUCUACCACAAUCUACACUCUGUCAUGACCAGCUAAGGUGUGAACAUUUGUACAUUUGCACAGAACAAAAAGUAGGAGGUAUCUGGGGUGUGGACUGCUAAGAGAAAGUGCAAUUUUGUACAUGAGCUUCCAAUACACUCAAAAAGUAUUAAAUUUUAGUACAUGAACUAAUCCCUGCUAAGCUUAACAAUGACAUAUAAUGUCCAAUAUAAUUUUAAUGCAAAUUUCUAUGAUUCAUUUCCUAAAAGUUUCAACAGUAAUUGGUUACUGCUCACAUUAAACUUGAAUUUCCCUAUUUGGAAAAUUAAGCAUAUUCUAGUUUUACAAACAUGUCAGUCUUCCUUUUUAAUAAUAGUUUAAAAUGAUAUUUCAGUGGUUUACAUUUAACACUCAGAUUUACCUACUUCCUACCCCCCAUCAAUGAAUGACAAUCGACCUUUAAUUCUAAUCCCUCCACCUGGAAUUUACCUUGUUCUCUGCUGAUAUUCUUGGACCUAAAGUCUUUUUCUUUGCUGGUAGAAAAUUAUCUCCCUUUUGCCCAGCAUCUCUGAAUUCCGCUCAAAAUCUUUCAUUUUCCCUAAUUCAUGGUAGGAAAUCUCAGAAAUCUGAAGGGUUACUGGGGUCUGACCUGGUGGUCUCAUUGUCCAGCAGAGCUUACUCUGAAAACCGGCCGUCUACACCAAGGCCCUCUCCACUCCCGUCUCUUCCUUGAUCAACUAAUAGGUUUUAAGUUGAAAUAAUUUAUUUUACUAAACAAAAUUUGACAACAUUAUUACUUUGCAUUUAAGAGCAGAGACUUUAGUGUCAGUUACACCCGGGCUGAAACAGCAGCUGCUGCUCUCAUUACAUGUUACUCAAUUGUUUCAGCCUUCCAUGCUCAACUGUAAAAU
ensembl:lncRNA